UGGGGAAUCUUCCGCAAUGGGUGAAAGCCUGACGGAGCAACGCCGCGUGAGGGAUGAAGGCCUCUGGGCUGUAAACCUCUUUUAUCAAGGAAGAAGAUCUGACGGUACUUGAUGAAUAAGCCACGGCUAAUUCCGUGCCAGCAGCCGCGGUAAUACGGGAGUGGCAAGCGUUAUCCGGAAUUAUUGGGCGUAAAGCGUCCGCAGGCGGCCCUUCAAGUCUGCUGUUAAAAAGUGGAGCUUAACUCCAUCAUGGCAGUGGAAACUGUUGGGCUUGAGUGUGGUAGGGGCAGAGGGAAUUCCCGGUGUAGCGGUGAAAUGCGUAGAUAUCGGGAAGAACACCAGUGGCGAAGGCGCUCUGCUGGGCCAUCACUGACGCUCAUGGACGAAAGCCAGGGGAGCGAAAGGGAUUAGAUACCCCUGUAGUCA
rnacentral:rRNA from 1 species